rnacentral:lncRNA from 1 species
UUUACUCAUCGUAGCUAUACUAUCAAUUGAUAGGUGCACUUGUCUUAGUCAAAAUUUUAGUUAGUUCACAAUGCAUAAAGUUUUUGGCAUUGCCCGAGAUUAAAAUAUUAGGAAAAUUUUAUUUCUAUUAAUUUAUCCAUUUUUCAUUUUUAUUUUAAUAUUUUGUUUAAUUUAAUGUUUACAUUCUAAUUUUUUGUUUGUUUGAUUCUAACAGGUUCUUUUGGUUUAUGACUAGAGGAAACUUGUUGAAACUAGUGGCGAAACUA